AAACAUUGGGUGACAAUAGCUCGUGAGAGGGGGGAGAGGAGAAUCUCGAUUGCCAGAAGAGGUGCUCCGUGCGGUGGAGGAAGAAGUGGGGAUAAGUUCUGGGCUAGAUGGGGGCCAGCCGCCGCGGUUUCACCGGCAGCCCGAGGGGGGAGCAAAAAGGGGGGCUAACGGGUCCGAGCCGGUUUGAUCAGUCUUUUGGGAGAUCUGACAGCUUAACUGUUAGGCUUCCAAAGGAUUUUUUCCCCACUUGGAACCGGGAGAGGAAAGAGGUACUACAGGGGAAGGAGGGAAAUCUUGUAAUCCCUGGGGGACCACCAGGGGCGAAGGCGUCUUACCAGAACGGGUCCGACGGUGAGGGACGUUUUUUUGGGGGCACGAACCGGAUUAGAUACCCGGGAAGUCCGGCGGGAGACAAUGCUCGCCAGGGGUCAGGAAGGGGGCGACCGUUUCUGGGGCCGAAGGGAAGCCGUGAAGCGAGCCACCUGGAAAGUACGGCCGCAAGGUGAAACUUAAAGGAAUUGGCGGGGAAAGGGCGAAUCCUUUAACCCUGCGGACUAGUCCCUUUAGGGAGGGUAAAUUCUGAGCUUGGCGAAUCUUGGCCAAGGUGUUUCCGGAA
rnacentral:rRNA from 1 species